GAAAAAGUCAAGGGGUCUGAAUACUUUCUCAACGCACUGUAUAUUCUUCAAGACUCAAUGGAAAUGAAUUUAAAGUCUAAAAAUGGAUAAAGCAACGGCAGAUUGUCCCUUUAAAUCAAAAGUGACUUUGUCUGUAGUGUGAGCUGUAUGUUUUGUAUGUAUGUAUUUUAGUGUACUCGCAGAUCAGUGAUACAAUACUACUUCUGUUCAUCACCAAGCAAUGUAGCUACAACAACUUGUCAAAGAUUGAGGCCAACCAACGCAGCUACAAUGUAGUAACCUUUAUUGCGUUCCUUCAACAACUUCAUUUCCAUUACAAAAAAAUUCAAGGGUUCAUUUGCAUUAUCCCCCGGUUCCCGCCAUCCCAACCUCAUAAGAAUAGUACAGAUACCAUUCAUUGUACAGUUUAAGAACAAUUCAUUAAAAACUUCACUGAUAUCAAACUGAAUGGCAACAUGAGGCCAAUCCAAGCCACUUUAUAGGGGACUGAAAUGUCUAGUCACACGGUGCUGAAAGAUCGCCUGUCCUCAGUGAUCGUCACUGGUUUAGGAGUUUCACAUAGAAUAAACUGUCAUUGUACUGCUGUGUUCUAUUGUGGUACAGCGUAGGUUAGAUACGGAGAAAAACACACCUUGGACUGCUCUUAACAAGCUCCCCAGUAGGCCACGUUUCCUAGUCCCAGCCUGCUUAAGUACUCAACUACCAAGAGAUAAUGCACACCAAGGCAACGCCAAUGAUGGGAAAAAGUACCCAAAUGUCAUACUUGAGUAAAAGUAAAGUUACCUUAAUAGAAAAUGACUGAAGUAAAAGUCACCUAGUAAAAUACUACUUGAGUAAAAGUUUACAUUUUGGUUUUAAAAUAUACUUAAGUAUCAAAAGUAAAUGUAAUUGCUAAAAUAUACUUAAGUAUCAAAGCAAGACUAAUUUAAAAUUCCUAUUAAGUAAACCAGACGGUACAAUUCUGUUUUUUUAAAUUUACGGAUAGCCAGGCCACACGCCAACACUCAGAGAUCAUUUACAAAUUAAGAAUUUGUGUUUAGUGAGUCUGCUAAGCAUUAAAAAGGAAACAAGUACUUUUGGGUGUCAGGGAAAAGGUAUGGAGUAAAAAGUACAUUAUUUUCUUGAGGAAUGUAGUGAAGUAAAAGUUGUCAAAAAUAUAACUAGUAAAGUAAAGUACAGAUACCCCAAAAAAUGACUUAAGUAAUAUUUAAAAGUAUUUUUACACCACUGGUAAGCACAAAGUCAGAAGGAACGAGAACGUACGUCAAUUUCCAACAUUCAUAGUAUGGGGCCCAUAAUUGACCCAGAGGGCAAAACAGCUGCUAAAACAGAUGACUGUUUGUUUUCAUCAAGGUGUUCAGAUGGAAGCGGUCAGUCAGUUAUUGAACUUGAGGAGUCUCCUCUUUAUUGAAGUCAAAACAAAUUCUUGCCCCCCGUACGACUUACACCCAAUGUUUCAUAACCUUCAUUCCAUAUUUGUAUAACACUAUAGAUUUAAAUAAAACUAAUUCAAUCACAUAAUUCAAACUCAUGAAUUAAACUCAAUCACAGAGCCAUGAACAGCAGACUGAUGCCUUUCCCAGUAGGACUCCUGUAACAGUAUACAUAUUGGAUAAUCAACCAAAAGCAGUGCUAUUCAUUAACACUAAAUCCACGGGACAAAAUUAAGAAUUUUUCUUUACAAAACUGCCUACAACAGAAUAGCCAAUAAAAGAAGAGCACAGAGAAACCCACCUAUCACAGUGUUGUCCAGUGUCAAAUAGGUAAAAAGGGUUUACAGCUGAAAGGGAGGGGCAGAGAAACACACAGCAACAUCUUCUAGCAACACAAGUGGAUUGACAAUGAGGGAGUCAGUCAGUGAGCAACAGAGUGAGAGACAACACAGAGGGAGAGAGAGAACAGAGAGAGAGAGGGAGAGAGAGCGACAACACAGACAGAGAGAGAACGGGAGAGAGACAACACAGAGAGGGAGGGAGACAACAGAGAGAGACAACACAGAGGGAAAGAGGGAGACACAGAGAGAGAACGGGAGAGAGACAACACAGAGAGGGAGAGAGAGAACACAGAAGGGGAGAGAGAGAGAGAGACAACACAGAGAGAGAGAGAAAGGGAGAGAGAUAGACAACAGACAGAGAGAGAAAGGGAGAGAGACAACACAGAGAGAGGGAGACAGAGACAACACAGAGGGAAAGAUGGAGACAGAGAGAGAACGGGAGAGAGACAACACAGAGAGGGAGAGAGAACACAGAGAGAGGGAGAGAGAGACAACAGAGAGAAAGAGAACACAGAGAAGGGGGGAGAGAGAGAGAGAACACAGAGAGGGAGAGAGACAACACAGAGAGAGAGAGGGAGAGAGAGACAACAGAGAGAGACAACACAGAGAGAGGGAGAGAGAGACAGAGAGAGACAACACAGAGAGAGAGAAAGGGAGAGAGACAGAGAGAGACAACACAGAGAGAGAGAGAAAGGGAGAGAGACAGAGAGAGACAACACAGAGAGAGAGAGAAAGGGAGAGAGACAGAGAGAGACAACACAGAGAGAGAGAGAGAGAAAGGGAGAGAGACAACACAGAGAGAGAGAGAGAGAAAGGGAGAGAGACAACACAGAGAGAGAGAACACAGAGGGAAAGAGGGAGACAGAGAGAACGGGAGAGAGACAACACAGAGAGGGAGAGAGAGACAACAGAGAGAGAGACAACACAGAGAGAAAGAGAGGGAGAGAACACAGAGAAGGGGAGAGAGAGAGAGAGACAACAGAGAGAGAGGCCGAGAGAGAGACAACAGAGAGAGAAAGAGAGGGAGAGAACACAGAGAAGGGGAGAGAGAGAGAACACAGAGAGGGAGAGAGAGACAACAGAGAGAGACAACACAGAGAGAAAGAGAGGGAGAGAACACAGAGAAGGAGAGAGAGAGAGAGACAACAGAGAGAGAGACAACACAGAGAGAAAGAGAGGGAGAGAACACAGAGAAGGGGAGAGAGAGAGAGAGACAACAGAGAGAGAGGCCGAGAGAGAGACAACAGAGAGAGAAAGAGAGGGAGAGAACACAGAGAAGGGGAGAGAGAGAGAACACAGAGAGGGAGAGAGAGACAACAGAGAGAGACAACACAGAGAGAAAGAGAGGGAGAGAACACAGAGAAGGAGAGAGAGAGAGAGACAACAGAGAGAGAGGCCGAGAGAGAGACAAAAGACACAGAGAGUGACGGGGAGAAAGGGAGAGAAAGAAAGACUGACAGACGGUGAGAGACAAGGGCCUCAUUGAGCCCAUUAGUUCCUGAGACUGAUCUAAAUAGAUACAUGUAUAUAAAAAGGUACAUAUAGCCUGCCCACCCCUCUCGUUGUGCGGCAGGCGUAUCUAAAGUGCACAGAUAUAAAGACAGGAAAUAAAGAACAUUAAUUACCGGCCAGCCACAAACAACGACACUGCUCCCUUCUUCCCCCCCCAAGCUCUGCAAUGUUGACACACUCAAAAUAAAUUAAAUGCAUUACAUUUUGUAAUGAUAUAGAUAAUAAUGAUAAAAAAUAUAUAUAGACAAUCUAAAAUAUAUACCCCAUAACAGAAAAUAUUCCAAUGGAUGUAAACCGUUUAAAUGGAUAAAAGUGAGUUUCCCCUAGUCAUCAUAACCAAGGGGAGGCUACAGCUCUGGUAAGACUUCCUUGGUGCAGGUGCACUACACUAGAUUUAACCCAGGCUACCACAGCCAUGUACAGUAACACUAUUGAACAACUUUAAACCUGCCCUAAAGGAGGCAUCAGUUUUAGAAACCUCCAUAGACUUACUCUAUACAUAUUUUCUUCCUUUCAAGUCCACCAUUAUGUAUGUAUGUAUGUAUGUAUGGACACUGCAGGCAAUACCCUCACCAUUAUGUAUGUAUGUAUGGACACUGCAGGCAAUACCCUCACCAUUAUGUAUGUAUGGACACUGCAGGCAAUACCCUCACCAUUAUGUAUGUAUGUAUGGACACUGCAGGCAAUACCCUCACCAUUAUGUAUGUAUGUAUGGACACUGCAGGCAAUACCCUCACCAUUAUGUAUGUAUGUAUGUAUGUAUGUAUGUAUGUAUGUAUGGACACUGCAGGCAAUACCCUCACCAUUAUGUAUGUAUGUAUGUAUGUAUGUAUGUAUGUAUGUAUGUAUGUAUGUAUGUAUGUAUGUAUGUAUGUAUGUAUGGACACUGCAGGCAAUACCCUCACCAUUACGUAUGUAUGUAUGUAUGGACACUGCAGGCAAUACCCUCACCAUUACGUAUGUAUGGACACUGCAGGCAAUACCCUCACCAUUACGUAUGUAUGGACACUGCAGGCAAUACCCUCACCAUUACGUAUGUAUGGACACUGCAGGCAAUACCCUCAC
ensembl:lncRNA